rnacentral:snRNA from 1 species
GUGCUCACUUGGGCAACACACAUGCUGAAAUUGGAGCAAUACAGAGAAGAUUAGCAUGGCUUCUGAGCAAGGAUGACACAGAAAAUUUGUGAUACGUUCCAUAUUUUC